rnacentral:rRNA from 1 species
UACGUAGGGACCAAGCGUUGUUCGGAUUUACUGGGCGUAAAGGGCGCGUAGGCGGCGUGGUAAGUCACUUGUGAAAUCUCUGAGCUUAACUCAGAACGGCCAAGUGAUACUGCUGUGCUAGAGUGCAGAAGGGGCAAUCGGAAUUCUUGGUGUAGCGGUGAAAUGCGUAGAUAUGACAUAGAACACCAAUUGCGAAGGCAGCUUACUACACAGUUAUUGACGCUGAGGCACGAAAGCGUGGGGAUCAAACAGG